AGAGUUUGAUCCUAGCUCAGGAUGAACGCUAGCGGUAUGCUUAACACAUGCAAGUCGAACGAAAAAGCAAUUUUUAGUGGCGAACGGGUGAGUAACACGUGAGAAUUUGCCUUUAGGAAGAGGAUAACUUUAAGAAACGAAAGCUAAUACUCUAUAUGCCGCAAGGUGAAAGAAGAGAUUCGCCAAAAGAGAAGCUCGCGCCUGAUUAGCUAGUUGGUGGGGUAAUGGCCUACCAAGGCGACGAUCAGUAGCUGGUUUGAGAGGAUGACCAGCCACAUUGGAACUGAGAUACGGUCCAGACUCCUACGGGAGGCAGCAGUGAGGAAUUUUCUGCAAUGGGCGAAAGCCUGACAGAGCAAUAUCGCGUGAGGGAGGAAGGCCUACGGGUUGUAAACCUCUUUUCUCAAGGAGGAAACUAUGACGUUACUUGAGGAAUAAGCAUCGGCUAACCCUGUGCCAGCAGCCGCGGUAAUACAGGGGAUGCAAGUGUUAUCCGGAAUCAUUGGGCGUAAAGCGUCUGCAGGCUGGCUUUUAAGUCUUUUGUUAAAGCUCUAGGCUCAACCUAGAAAAUGCAAAGGAAACUAAAAGCCUUGAGUAUGGUAGAGGUAAAGGGAAUUUCCAGUGGAGCAGUGAAAUGCUUAGAUAUUGGAAAGAACACCAACGGCGAAGGCACUUUACUGGGCCAGCACUGACGCUGAGAGACGAAAGCUAGGGGAGCAAACGGGAUUAGAUACCCCGGUAGUCCUAGCUGUAAACGAUGGAUACUAGAUGUUGCCUUUAUA
rnacentral:rRNA from 1 species